rnacentral:rRNA from 1 species
UACGUAGGGUGCGAGCGUUAAUCGGAAUUACUGGGCGUAAAGCGUGCGCAGGCGGUUUGCUAAGACCGAUGUGAAAUCCCCGGGCUUAACCUGGGAACUGCAUUGGUGACUGGCAGGCUAGAGUAUGGCAGAGGGGGGUAGAAUUCACGUGUAGCAGUGAAAUGCGUAGAGAUGUGGAGGAAUACCGAUGGCGAAGGCAAG